AUGAUGAAUACAUUCGAACCAGAGGCAUGGGGAAAAUACUCGGAGAGUCGAAGGUUACAUCGUGUUGUCAAGAAAAGUAGUAGAAUUGAGAGAGAAGAGAGAGAGGAAGUUGAUGAAGAGGUUCAAAGAGAAAGAUCGACAAUGUUGCUUGAAGAUGAUGCAAAGAAAAACUCAGAUUUUCAGAGACUGCAAAGAGAAACGUGA